rnacentral:rRNA from 1 species
UACGAAGGGGGCUAGCGUUGUUCGGAAUUACUGGGCGUAAAGCGCGCGCAGGCGGCUAUCCAAGUCAGUGGUGAAAGCCCGGAGCUCAACUCCGGAACUGCCAUUGAAACUGUUUAGCUUGAGGACGAGAGAGGUGAGUGGAAUUCCCAGUGUAGAGGUGAAAUUCGUAGAUAUUGGGAAGAACACCGGUGGCGAAGGCGGCCCCCUGGACAAAGACUGACGCUCAGGUGCGAAAGCGUGGGGAGCAAACAGG